rnacentral:tRNA from 1 species
GCAUUGGUGGUUCAGUGGUAGAGUUCUUGCUACACAUGCGAGAGGCCUGGGUUCAAUUCCCAGUUAGCGCA